ACKGCUCAGUAACACGUGGCUAACCUACCCUCGAGACGGGGACAACCCCGGGAAACUGGGGCUAAUCCCAGAUAGAUGAGAACUCCUGGAAUGGGUUCUCGUCCAAAAGGCACCAAGAUCAUGCUUCUUGGCGUCGCUUAAGGAUGGGGCCGCGACCGAUCAGGCUGUUGGUGAGGCAACGGCUCACCAAACCUUUAACCGGUACGGGCCGUGGGAGCGGGUGCCCGGAGAUGGGAACUGAGACAAGGUCCCAGGCCCUACGGGGCGCAGCAGUUACGAAAACUUGUCAAUGCACGAAAGUGUGAACGGGCUACCCCGAGUGCCGUCCGCUGAGGAUGGCUUUUCUCUGCUGUAAGGAAGCGGAGGAAUAAGGAGAGGGCAAGUCUGGUGUCAGCCGCCGCGGUAAUACCAGCUCUCCGAGUGGUAGGGAUGAUUAUUGGGCUUAAAGCGUCCGUAGCUGGCCUCUCAAGCCUCUCGUUAAAUCCAGCGAUUCAAUCGUUGGACUGCGGGAGAUACUGUGAGGCUAGGGGGCGGGAGAAGCCGACGGUAUUUCCGGGGUAGGGGUAAAAUCCUAUAAUCCCGGGAAGACCACCAGUGGCGAAGGCGGUCGGCUAGCACGCGCUCGACGGUGAGGGACGAAAGCUGGGGGAGCGAACCGGAUUAGAUACCCGGGUAGUCCCAGCUGUAAACGAUGCUGGCUAGGUGUUGAAGCGGCUACGAGCCGCUUCAGUGCCGCAGGGAAGCCAUUAUAGCCAUGCCGCCUGGGGAGUACGGCCGCAAGGCUGAAACUUAAAGGAAUUGGCGGGGGAGCAC
rnacentral:rRNA from 1 species